AGUUUGAUCAUGGCUCAGGACAAACGCUAAACGGUGUGCUUAAUACAUGCAAGUCGAACGAGCAAUGUAAGAGUGGCAACACUCCUGCAAAGCUAGUGGCGAACGGGUGAGUAAUGCGUAGGUAAUCUACCUUGGAGAUUGGAAUAACUUUCUGAAAGGAAAGCUAAUACUAGAUAUUUUAUAUUUUUCGCAUGAUUAAUGUAAGAAAGGUAGCCGCAAGGCCUCUGCUCCGGGAUGAGCCUGCGUCCUAUUAGUUUGUUGGUAAGGUAAUGGCUUACCAAGGCUAUGAUGGGUAGCCGGCCUGAGAGGGUGAUCGGCCACAUUGGGACUGAGAUACGGCCCAGACUCCUACGGGAGGCAGCAGUAGGGAAUAUUGCGCAAUGGGCGAAAGCCUGACGCAGCGACACCGUGUGAAGGAUGAAGGUCUUCGGAUCGUAAACUUCUGUCGAUUGGAGACGAAGGUAGUAGAGUUAAUAGCUCAAAUACUGACGGUAUCUAAUAAGGAAGUCUCGGCUAACUCCGUGCCAGCAGCCGCGGUAAGACGGAGGAGGCAAGCGUUGUCCGGAAUCAUUGGGCGUAAAGAGCGCGUAGGCUGUUUUUUAAGUCAUAUGUGAAAACAUCAGGCUUAACUUGAUGAUUGCAUAUGAAACUGGAUAACUUGAGUACAGCAGAGGAAAGUGGAAUUCCUGGUGUAGCGGUGAAAUGCGCAGAUAUCAGGAAGAACACCAGUGGCGAAGGCGGCUUUCUGGGCUGUUACUGACGCUGAGGCGCGAAAGCUAGGGGAGCGAACAGGAUUAGAUACCCUGGUAGUCCUAGCUGUAAACGAUGGACACUAGGUGUGGGAAGUUAUCGACGCUUUCUGUGCCGGAGUUAACGCAUUAAGUUCCCGCCUGGAGACCCGACCC
rnacentral:rRNA from 1 species